UCGAAUCACCCGUCUGUUAACUGGUUGGACCUCGCAGACUCUCUCUCAUUCAAGCAGUGCGCAGUGGAUAUUGAACCACUAAGAACUGUUGGGAAGAUUUGCCUGGUACUUGGUGGCAACAGCCUUGUAAAACAAUAAUAGUGUGCUUUUUUGGCUUAACUUUAUUCCUGAGGAGGCAACGGAAUCCAUUGUAGAGUCUGGUCGAUUUAUGGAGAUGUUUGGAGAGGAUCUAUGAAUAUGGUAAUUCCAGACGGUGCAAUCUGCUAAAUGAAGCAGCUACGAGUGAGGGCCACUUGUUGGGGAUAACAGAAGGGACAGCACAGCAUCAGUCAGCCAAAGCCAUGAAGCAGUCCAUUGACUAGGAUGUGCCAGUAAACCACUGAUUCGGGCUUGAGUGGAACAUUAAGGAUUUGUAUUUCUAUCCAAAGAAGUUGGAUUUUAGGGUGAACCAGGAAAUUGAAUAUGGAGACAGAGCUGAGGACAGGUCUCUCUGUAUGGGCCAUAAUGGCCAUAGUGUGUAACUCUGUAGUGGGCGUCCUCACCCUCAUCCUCUUUGUCAUCCUCUACCAGGCCUGCAAGGUGCCUUCCUGCCAAGAGAGGGCGCCAGUGCUGACAGCAGCCCCGGAGCAAGAGAAGGGCGAUCAGAAAUACUUACUCACUGUAGUCUGACGGUGAACAUAAAGAGGAAAAACACUCUCUGGCCAAACAGACUACACACACACACACACACGCACGCACGCACACCUCUCUCUCUCUGUCUGUAUUUGAGUCCAUUUCUCUCUCUCUCUGCCUGACACUCAGUUGAUCUCGGAGCAAAAGAACAUGACAAGUGUUAGGCAUUGCGUAAAAAAAAAACAUAAAUCCUCUUAUCUCCUUGGCUCUGCUCUGGGACUGUCCAUCUGUCAGUUUGUUUAAACCCAGCAGUCUGGCCUUACCCUGCACAUCUCCACUGAACCAGUCUGAUGAUUUGUGGGAAAGGGUAAAUGAAAAAGCGAAUGAGAAGAGAGAUGGAAGGAAAGGCGGAAAGCGAACAGCCCUCAUCUCAUCAGCGACAGAUUGUUUACUAACUGGAGAAAUAAUGAUGCCAAGUACAGUGAAAUAGACCACAAGAGAGAUAGAUAGAGAGAUAGAUAGAGAGAUAGCUGCGGAAACAAAGGAAGGCCGUGAUGAUGGACGAGAGAGAAGGAAAGGGGUGUUUUGAUGUGUUGCUUACUAAGAGAACGUUCAAGAAUCUCAAUAGUUUAAGAAAAAUAACAAAAACAAAGGGAAAUGAACUCAACAUUUCAACUAAAAGUUGCGCUGUAACACUUAAAUGUGUCCGUCUGCCACUUACCGGGUUCAUAACCUUCUCAAGGAGUGACACCCAAAGACAGUAUAAUGAGAAUCUUUUAGAACGACUCCCAGAGAUAGUGAUGUUGUGACGCGGAGAAUCAAAAUGACUACUUGAAACAGAAGGAUCAUGUACUGUACUAUGCGAAUAACCAUUCCACAUGUGUAAUUAUUAUGGUGAUGUUGUUCUAUGAAUCAUGGACAUAAUGUUGCUUUUAAUAGUUUAUUAACACAAUAAAUGUUUUACUUUUUCGUAA